rnacentral:rRNA from 1 species
CCUACGGGGGGCAGCAGUGGGGAAUAUUGCACAAUGGGGGAAACCCUGAUGCAGCCAUGCCGCGUGUGUGAAGAAGGCCUUCGGGUUGUAAAGCACUUUCAGCGAGGAGGAAAGGGUGUAAGUUAAUACCUUACAUCUGUGACGUUACUCGCAGAAGAAGCACCGGCUAACUCCGUGCCAGCAGCCGCGGUAAUACGGAGGGUGCGAGCGUUAAUCGGAAUUACUGGGCGUAAAGCGUGCGCAGGCGGUUUGUUAAGCGAGAUGUGAAAGCCCCGGGCUCAACCUGGGAACCGCAUUUCGAACUGGCAAACUAGAGUCUUGUAGAGGGGGGUAGAAUUCCAGGUGUAGCGGUGAAAUGCGUAGAGAUCUGGAGGAAUACCGGUGGCGAAGGCGGCCCCCUGGACAAAGACUGACGCUCAGGCACGAAAGCGUGGGGAGCAAACAGGAUUAGAUACCCCGGUAGUC